rnacentral:rRNA from 1 species
AGCGAACGUUAGCGGCGGGCCUAACACAUGCAAGUCGAACGCGAAAGGUCUUCGGACUGAGUAGAGUGGCGCACGGGUGAGUAACACGUAGGUAAUCUACCCUUUGGCGGGGGAUAACGUUCCGAAAGGAGCGCUAAUACCGCAUAAGACCACGGAGUCUCCGGACGCUGUGGGAAAAGGUGGCCUCUUCUUGAAAGCUAUCACCGAAGGAUGAGCCUGCGUCCCAUCAGCUAGUUGGUAAGGUAAUGGCUUACCAAGGCGAAGACGGGUAGCUGGUUUGAGAGAAUGAUCAGCCACACUGGCACUGGAACACGGGCCAGACUCCUACGGGAGGCAGCAGUGAGGAAUAUUGGGCAAUGGGCGAAAGCCUGACCCAGCCACGCCGCGUGAGUGAUGAAGGCCCUCGGGUCGUAAAGCUCUGUGGAGAGGGACGAAAGCCCUGGUUUCAAAUAGGCUCCAGGCUUGACGGUACCUCUUUAGCAAGCACCGGCUAACUCUGUGCCA